CCAUGGCUCACGGGCCCAGCAGCUCCGCGGCAUGUGGGAUCUUCCCGGACCGAGGCACGAACCCGUGUCCCCUACAUCGGCAGGUGGACUCUCAACCACUGCGUUGGCUCCUUUUUAAACCAGCAAGUAGACAGUGUCCACUGAGCCCUCUGAGACAGACGACUGACUGUGGGGAAGCAGAGUGUCAUCGGAAUCCCAUCUCUACCCCUUGCUAAUCACAGUCCGCAGAGCCACAGACUGAAAACCCCUUGACAUACUUAAUGUUGAGAGUGAAAACGGCACCCUCGUACACACAGUCUUGAAUCCAGACCACGUUACAGUAAGCGAGCAGCCAGUGUGUUCUUGGGACUCCGAGCUAGAAAGAAGAAGUGCGGCGGAAGCACAUUCGUCUGCACAUGGAAAGCGCGCUGACUGCCCGGGACAAGGUCGGGGUGCAGGAUUUUGUGCUGUUGGAUGCCUACACCAGUGAAUCUGCUUUUCUGGACAACCUUCGCAAGCGUUUCAGCGAGAACCUCAUCUAUACAUAUAUUGGGACCCUCCUUGUGUCUGUGAACCCAUACCAGGAGCUUGGAAUCUACACUGUGAGCCAGAUGGAACUUUAUCAAGGGGUCAAUUUCUUUGAACUGCCACCGCAUGUCUACGCCAUAGCUGACAACGCUUACCGCAUGAUGUGCUCUGAGCUAAAUAACCACUUCAUCCUCAUUUCUGGAGAGAGCGGGGCAGGGAAAACGGAGGCCUCCAAGAAGAUUCUCCAGUAUUUUGCAGUGACCUGCCCAAUGACUGAGUCACUACAAAUAGCCCGUGACAGACUGCUACUCUCCAAUCCGGUGCUGGAGGCUUUUGGAAAUGCCAAAACACUCCGGAAUGACAACUCCAGCAGAUUUGGAAAAUACAUGGACAUACAGUUUGACUUUAAGGGCAUUCCUGUAGGCGGCCAUAUCAUCAGUUACUUGAUAGAAAAGUCUCGAGUCGUCUAUCAAAAUCAGGGUGAGCGGAAUUUCCACAUCUUCUACCAGCUGCUAGAGGGUGGAGAAGAAGAGCUCCUUGCUUACCUGGGACUUGAGCGAGAUCCCCAGCUGUAUAAAUACCUCUCACAGGGCCACUGUGCCAAAGAGUCGUCUAUUAAUGACAAGAACGACUGGAAAACUGUUUCCAAUGCCUUUUCUGUCAUCGAUUUUACUGAAGAUGAUCUUGAGAAUCUCUAUGGAAUUAUUGCCAGUGUCCUACACCUGGGGAACAUCUGUUUUGAAGCGAACCAGCAGGGCUGUGCCCGCAUACCAGACACCCACGAGAUCAAAUGGAUUGCCAAGCUCCUAGGGGUCAACCCAUGGGACCUUCUGGAAGCUCUCACCCAUAGAAAGAUUGAAGCCAAAACGGAGGAGGUGAUAUGCCCACUGACGCUAGAACUCUCUGCCUACGCUAGAGAUGCAAUGGCAAAGGCCGUUUACGGACGAACAUUUACUUGGCUGGUCAACAAAAUCAAUUCCUCCUUAGUGAACAAGGAUUACACUGGGAAAACGGUGAUUGGAUUGCUGGAUAUCUAUGGGUUUGAAGUCUUUGACAAGAAUGGUUUUGAACAGUUCUGUAUAAAUUACUGCAAUGAGAAACUCCAGCAACUAUUAAUUGAGAGAACCCUAAAAGCGGAACAGGCAGAAUAUGAAAUGGAAGGUAUAGAGUGGGAGCCAAUUCAGUAUUUCAACAACAAGAUCAUCUGUGACUUGGUAGAAGAGAGACACAAGGGAAUCAUUUCCAUUCUGGAUGAAGAAUGUAUUCGUCCUGGUCCUGCUACAGACUUGAGUUUCCUGGAGAGAUUGGAAGAGAAAGUGGGCAAGCACGCACACUUCCAAACCCGGAAGCUGGCAGGUCCAAAGUGCAGAAAGAGGAUUGGCUGGAUGGAGUUCCGGCUCUUCCACUAUGCAGGAGAGGUCACAUACUGCACCAAGGGAUUCUUGGAAAAAAACAAUGAUCUCCUCUACAGACAUCUGAAAGAAGUGCUGUGCAGGUCCAAAAACAGAAUCCUGAAGGACUGCUUCCGGGUGGCCGAGUUAGAAAACCGGAGAAGGCCACCAACAGUGGGGACUCAGUUUAAAAACAGUCUGAGCAGCCUUCUGGAAAUUCUCAUCUCUAAGGAACCUUCGUACAUCCGUUGCAUCAAGCCCAACGAGAGUAAAGAACCCAGCAAGUUCGAUGUCUUCCUCAUAAGGCAUCAGAUCAAGUACCUGGGGCUGAUGGAGCACCUGCGGGUGAGACGGGCUGGCUUUGCGUACCGACGGAAAUACGAGCAUUUCUUGCAAAGGUACAAGUCCUUGUGCCCAGACACCUGGCCGCACUGGCACGGGCCUCCAGCAGAGGGCGUAGAGCGGCUGAUCAAGUACAUUGGCUACAAACCCGAGGAGUACAAGUUAGGGAGAUCCAAAAUAUUCAUUCGCUUCCCCAGAACUCUGUUUGCUACUGAAGAUGCCUUUGAAUUUAGUAAACAUCAAUUAGUUGCGAGAAUCCAAGCCAUGUACAAAGGCUGCCUGGAAAGGAGAGCAUACGUGAGAAAAAGACAAGCAGCCAUUAAACUUGAAGCCCACUGGCGUGGAGCCCUGGCUCGGAAGGAGGCCAAAAGGAGAAAGUGGGCUGUGCAGAUUAUAAGAAAGUUCAUAAAGGGAUUCAUCCAUCGCAACAAGCCCCUCUGUCCUGACAAUGAGGAGUUCAUCGUGUUCGUGCGGAAGAAUUACAUCUUGAAUCUUCGGUAUCACGUCCCAGAGAACGUCUUGGACGACAGCUGGCUGAGGCCUCCUGGCCUCUUGGAAAAUGCAUCGAAUCUGCUCAGGAAAAUGUGCAUGAGGAACCUGGUCCGGAAGUACUGCCGAGGGAUCACAGCCGAGAGGAAAGCCCUGAUGCAGCAAAAGGUGGUUACAAGUGAAAUAUUCAGGGGAAAGAAAGAAGGCUAUGCAGAAAGCUUAAAUCAACCCUUUGCCGACAGCCGAAUAGAUGAAGGAGACAUUAAUCCCAAAGUGCUUCAGCUCAUCAGCAGUGAGAAAAUCCAGUACGGUAUCCCGGUCAUUAAAUACGACAGGAAAGGCUUCAAGACACGGCAGAGGCAACUCAUUCUCACUCAGAAAGCAGCUUACGUGGUGGAACUUGCCAAAAUCAAGCAGAAAAUAGAGUACCCUGCGCUCAAAGGUAAGCAGCAGGCAAUCUUCAGAAAACUCGCUGGGUUGACUCGGCCCCCGGGCACACCAGCAGCGCAGCAGCCGCUCACCGGAAGACCUAGGCGAAGCUGCCCACAAACCCAGGGCGGCCCGGGCUGCGCCUCUUACUCCGGCACAAACGCCAACGGCAUCUCACUCCGGCAUCCGGGUCGGACACUGGUCACCUUUGACAGGGACCAGCUGUUUUUCCGAGCACAGGUGCUGAUUGCAGGGCCACCCCACUUGGCCCAGCUAGGAGGGAAAAAGCCUGGGGUUGGGGACCCCCCAGGCAUGCCUUUUUUCUGUAUCAAUGUCAAGUUGUCCAGUUCUUGGCCUCUAACUUUGGAUCUGUCCUAAGGUGUCUCUACCAGCAGCUUCAGCGACGGAAUGGUAGUCAUUCACGUUUCGCCAGAAGGCAACAGGCAAAAGGUAACCUACGGCCACAGGGCUGCUAACAGAGGGAAACACUGCCAAAAUCUUUAGCGGCCCCCAGUGAAACCUCAGUGAUGUUCUUCUGUGAAGCCGCUACCACUGAGCCGGCCGUGUUCUCUCCUCUCCGCCGCAGGGGGAUGCCGUCUUACAGUGCAAACACAUAUUUGAGGCAGUUACCAAACUCGUCAUGCUGGCUAAGAAGGAGAACGUUGUAAAUGUUGUUCAAGGAAGGUAGGUGGUUUCGUCUGUACUCAGGAAGUCAUUCAAUGUUAAGUGUCUAUUAACAGAUCAAGGAAGACGCAAAUGUUAAUCGUUUCACCCAGGCCUGCCCCUCCCCGCAAAGUAAGAACUGCCUACCCACAAGGGGUUGGGGGUACCCUUGCCCCCUCCGAUCACCAGCUUUCUUCCCUCCUCACCCCCUAGGACUUGGGCUCCACAGAAAUGAAGUCAGUGAUCACUUAUUCACCAAAGGGAAUGAACAGUGGUCUCACCAUCUAGUUUUCAAAGGAGGUGCUUAUGGUCCUAAGGGAAUUUGUCACCCAGUGAAAGGGGGACCCACCCUGGGCGAGAGCAGGUGCCAGCCACACCUCUGCUGCUCAUGCCUGUGGAAGAACUGUGCUAAACCGAUUUGAAAAUAACUACAGGAAGGCGUGGCCAUUUUCCCAGUUGCAGAAACGGUUUUCUUUCAAUUACUCAAAUAUACAAUAAAACUCUGUAAUGAAACAGGAAUUUGAUCUCGAAACUAGUAAGCGUCACAGGUGAAUUUCUUUUGCAGGCCCACAGCUGAAGGAAAAAAUAGAGUAUGCCAGUAAUUUAUCACUUUGUGUAUUUUAAGUUUACAGUUUUAUAUUAGUCCUGGAAAAGAAGGCACAAUAGUUUUUGACACCGGACCAGAAGAACAAAUCUAUAAAGAUAAAAACGGACAGUUAACAGUGGUGUCGGUCCGCAGGAAGUCCUGAUGGAGGAUGACGUCUGAUCUCUCCCAUCGCCGUUUCUGCUGCAACUGAGGAAAGCUCGAAUUUGGUCCAGUUAGCGCCACCUUCAAGCAAAGUUUCCAGCAGCUCUAGGAAAAGGAUCGUCCCUGAAGAAGCAGAGUGGCAUCUUAUGCCAAAGGCCAAACCCUCAGGUGUUCCGUCGCACUACAUGUUCUCUUUAGGGAGCCAACCUCAAGUCACCCAAGGGGGUGAUUUUAAACAUCCCCAAUAGGACCUACACUUGAUGGGCACUUGAACAUGUCAGUAUGGGGGGAUGACAGAUUCUCUUUGUCAUGCUGCCCCUGGGGCACAAUGAAGUAUUAUACGUGGUCUGAGAGCAUAAAGCUGCAAAAUCUGAAUUUUGCUUUAAAUAAAUGGAACUCAGAAACAUACCCAGUUCCUGCAUGGCUUUAGGCUCCACAUGGUGAGGUGUAGCUCUCCCCACCCCAAACCUGCAGUCGGAGGCAACAGCAGCCGACCGCUGUUUCACAAGCCCAGCAGCAUUUCCACCCAAGACUUCCUUCCAGUGUUUGAGUUCAAACACUACGGAAAAAUGACUCAUCUUUUCCACCCUGAGCAGCAACCUUUAGGUGGUGAAGUAGAAGGUGGGAUCUCUGCUCUCUUUCCUGUGAACUGCACUUCAGUUCAGUGGCUGGACUGUGCUGGGCAUUUCUGAAAAGACCCAGAAAAACAGAUUUAAGUAGAAGCGUUAUAUAACUUUUAUUUUACAUAUGUCCACAGAUGCUUGUACAACACACAGUGACUCCUUCUGAAGCUCAUAGCGUUUUUUUCCAUGGCACAAAGAGACAGAAAGGUUAGUGACACACACGUGUUACAGUGACCCUGGGUGGAGCCCUAGAAAACACAUUCCAGAGGGAGGGCCAGGGUACCUGCACAGCGACCGCCCUGCUAAGUAAGCCACUACAGGAGGACGAUGGAGAGGCAAGGUCCCCAGUCACCACAAUCAGAUGACUUAUUUGAAAAAAAGCCUCAUUACGAGGGACCCAAAGCUGUUCUGCUUUUUCCAUUGUAAGUUAUUACAGUGUAAUAAAACUUAGCUCUUCACCAAA